rnacentral:rRNA from 1 species
AGCUUCAAUAGCGUAUAUUAAAGUUGUUGCAGUUAAAACGCUCGUAGUCGGAUUUCGGGGCGGGCCGACCGGUCUGCCGAUGGGUAUGCACUGGCCGGCGCGUCCUUCCACCCGGAGACCGCGCCUACUCUUAACUGAGCGGGCGCGGGAGACGGGUCUUUUACUUUGAAAAAAUCAGAGUGUUUCAAGCAGGCAGUCGCUCUUGCAUGGAUUAGCAUGGGAUAAUGAAAUAGGACUCUGGUGCUAUUAUGUUGGUUUCGAACACCGGAGUAAUGAUUAACAGGGACAGUCAGGGGCACUCGUAUUCCGCCGAGAGAGGUGAAAUUCUCAGACCAGCGGAAGACGAACCACUGCGAAAGCAUUUGCCAGGGAUGUUU